GAGAAAAAGGUGCUCACUUGGAACAAUACAGAGAAGAGUAGCAUGCCCCCUGUGCAAGGAUGAGACGAAAUUCGUGAAGCGUUCCAUAGUUUU
rnacentral:snRNA from 1 species